AGCUCCAGUAGCGUAUAUUAAAGUUGUUGCAGUUAAAAAGCUCGUAGUUGGAUUUCUGGUACGACGUGUCUGGCCCGCCAGGGUUACCUGCGUGAGUGCCGGCGCGCGUCUGCCAUCCUUCUAGAAAACGGCCUUGCCCUUCACUGGGUUGGGGUCGCGAUCUAGAUCUUUUACUUUGAAAAAAUUAGAGUGUUUAAAGCAGGCUUCGCUAUGAAUACAUUAGCAUGGAAUAAUAAUUUAGGACUUCGGUCUCUAUUUUGUUGGUUUCUAGAGCUGAAGUAAUGAUUGAUAGGGAUAGUUGGGGGUGCUAGUAUUCAACGGCCAGAGGUGAAAUUCUUGGAUUCGUUGAAGACUAACUUAUGCGAAAGCAUUCACCAAGGAUGUCUUCU
rnacentral:rRNA from 1 species